UAGGGAAUCUUCGGCAAUGGACGAAAGUCUGACCGAGCAACGCCGCGUGAGUGAAGAAGGUUUUCGGAUCGUAAAACUCUGUUGUUAGAGAAGAACGUUGCAUAGAGUGGAAAAUUAUGCAAGUGACGGUAUCUAACCAGAAAGGGACGGCUAACUACGUGCCAGCAGCCGCGGUAAUACGUAGGUCCCGAGCGUUGUCCGGAUUUAUUGGGCGUAAAGCGAGCGCAGGUGGUUUAAUAAGUCUGAUGUAAAAGGCAGUGGCUCAACCAUUGUGUGCAUUGGAAACUGUUAGACUUGAGUGCAGUAGAGGAGAGUGGAAUUCCAUGUGUAGCGGUGAAAUGCGUAGAUAUAUGGAGGAACACCGGUGGCGAAAGCGGCUCUCUGGACUGUCACUGACACU
rnacentral:rRNA from 1 species